GGACUGUUCCACCAUUUGUCUAUCGCCAUGAUCAUAGUACCAGGACUGUUCCACCAUUUGUCUACCACCAUGAUCGUGGUACCAGGACUGUUCCACCAUUUGUCUAUCACCAUGAUCGUAGUACCAGGACUGUUCCACCAUUUGUCUACCACCAUGACUGUGAUACCAGGACUGUUCCACCAUUUGUCUACCACCACGACUGUGAUACCAGGGCUGUUCCACCAUUUGUCUAUCACCAUGACUGUGAUACCAGGACUGACUGUUCCAUUUGUCUAUCACCAUGAUCGUGAUACCAGGACUGUUCCACCAUUUGUCUGUCACCAUGAUCGUGGUACCAGGACUGUUCCAUCAUUUGUCUAUCAACAUGAUCGUGGUACCAGGACUGUUCCACCAUUUGUCUAUCACCAUGAUCAUGAUACCAGUACUGUUCCACCAUUUGUCUAUCAGCAUGAUCU